rnacentral:rRNA from 1 species
AUAGCGUAUAUUAAAGUUGUUGCAGUUAAAAAGCUCGUAGUUGAACUUCAGACCUGGCUGGGCGGUCAGCUUAUCGGCUUGUACUGUCUGGCUGGGCCUUACUUCUUGGGGAGCUGGUGUGCCCUUUAUUGGGUGCGUUGGUGAACCAGGACCUUUACCUUGAGAAAAUUAGAGUGUUCAAAGCAGGCCUAUGCCUGAAUACAUUAGCAUGGAAUAAUAAAAUAGGACGUUUGAUUCUAUUUUGUUGGUUUCUAGGAUCGACGUAAUGAUUAAUAGGGAUAGUUGGGGGCAUUAGUAUUCAAUUGUCAGAGGUGAAAUUCUUGGAUUUAUUGAAGACUAACUACUG